rnacentral:tRNA from 1 species
GACAUAAUAUAUUCUAUGUUACGGCCAUAGAGAAGAUAGAGAGCUAUCUUAUGUUU